ensembl:miRNA
CUGCUUGUGCUGGGGUGAGGUAGUAAGUUGUAUUGUUGUGGGGUAGGGAUCUGAGGCCCCAGUAAGAAGGUAACUAUACAACUUACUACUUUCCCUGGUGUGUAGCAU